GUCUUCAGAGGUAAAAGUUGUUGGUUACCAAUAUAGUUUCAUAUUGCAGAGUGGGAAAUUUAAUCUUCAUCUGUAAUAAUUCAUCUGCAUUCCAGAAUUAGUUCUUAAUUUGUUGUUUUAAAAGUUUUUCCUAAAAUUUUUCCAUAAUUGUUACCUUAUUUCUUCACCAACACUUAUUCUGUCCCUCACUAUUUUCUGAAACAUAAAAGCAGUGAUAUUUAUAACCUGUAGCUAGGUAUAGGGAAUAAACACCUGGAGGCAUAAAGGGCAGUUGUCCUGUUCUAUUUUCUGGCCUUCUGCUGGAGUAUUUAAUUUUGAAUGCCAAUCUUAUUUACAGAGAUAUAGGCUUUUAUAUUUAAAAUAUUUUAUUUAAUAAUCAAUUAUAUAUCAUUAUUUCUAAAAUGGUAACUUUGAUUGCUUUUAGCUAGGAAAUUCUAUGGCUGGAGCAUUUAGAAUUUUUUUGGUUAAAUUGAUUUCAAAAUGAAUUGUAUUUUGUUGUCUUAUAUCAAAGGUAAGGGGAUCUUUAAGGUUUUGCCAUUUUGCAGGCAGUCUUUUUUGUUUUUUAGCUAGUGUGUGUCUUCAUAGCAAAACUCACUGACCCCAUUUAUCUCUCCUAAGGAUCUCCAACAAUUAUGAAAAACGUUACACUGCCCUGUGGCUUGCUGAUGUUGCUUUUAUAUUUCCCUGGAAAUUUGCUCCCUUUGUACUUUUUACACAGGUAAGAUGAUUUUCAACAUUGACAAACCUUGCUAGUUUUUCUAAGAAAAGUAUUAGGCACAGUCCUUCCAGGCUAUCUUUUUCUAUACAGACUCAACUGUAUAAAGAGGUUUCAAACCAGAAGACACAUUAGAGGGCUGAGGAUUUAGCUCAGUGCCACUCUACCUGCCUUGCAAACAGAAGCUCCUGAUUAUGAUCCCCAGUACAAAAAAAAUCAGGGAAGCAAGGGGUUUUGCUGACUCCCUCUCCCCAAGAAGAUACACUGAGUCUCAUUCUCCCCACUCUCCUGUGGACUGUGGGGAGGAGGCAGAGUACUCAAGGAGCCAGGAAGCAUUGGAACCUCUGGUACUGCCAGAGGAAGAGGCCUGCCCAGUUGAAAUAGUCAGUGAUGACUAUUUGAAUUAGCACUGAUGAGGCAGUGAUGGGGAGAGAGGACCACAGAGAGUGGCCACACCUGGAAGAGGGAUGUGCAGACAGGGACUGGGGUGGGGCAGGGCUCCACUCAGAGUGGAACCCCAGGGUUGGAUCACCUGGCUAUUCAUGGAAAGUCAAGGGGCUGGAGGUUGUCUGCAGAUGAGAGCAGUCAGGAAAAGGGAGGCUGUGAUGCCUAGGAUGGCCCUUCCAAGGAUCAGAAGGGGGUCUUCUAAGCUAUAGCAAAGGGGCUCUUGAGAAUUAGGAGAGGGGUCAGGGACUAAAGAUGCCAACACCCAGAGAAGCUAUGUCUGGGGAAGACGGUGGCCUGCAUUCAGAUACCAGAGGCCCCGGGCUGAGGAAGGUGCACACAUCCAGCCUGCCAGAAAAAACCCAGGAGCUGAAGGCAGAUGGUCCCCAGAACUAAGGGGGAAUAGUUGGGGGAAUGUCAUGUGGGAGCUUCCCACAAAGACAGCCAUGGAAGAAGGACUGUGGGGUAGGACCUCUCUCCUCCCUAAGCCGUGCCAUAGUGAGAGCCUGGCUCAAGGGAAAAGGAGCUCAAUCUGUUAGUUACCUGAGGUUCUUGCACCAGGCCAGGCAUCUCUUGAACACAGUCUGCUGCUAAGUAAAAAAACCCAGACAUGUCCUCCUCCUCAUAGUUCUCCACUUCUAUGGACCAGUCUUUCUGCUUCUUCUGGCCAGAGGCAGGAAGUAGAGUGCUAAUCGAGGGACUGGAUCAAAAAGACCCAGCAGGUCCAUCUGCCACUCAUCUUCUGACUCCCACAGCCUCUCUUCCUUUUCCGGCCAGAGGCCUAAGGACAGAAGUUGGAUGCCAUCAACAGACCUGAGGAAAGAAACCAGGUUCACUAUGAAACCUCACUCUUUGGAAUUCAGCCUUUGAUCAUCUAAGCACAAUGUCCCCUUCCCAAGCACAAAACGUUUUCCAUUGUCAUCUCCUUCAGAGUCAUUUUUGCAAAUUUUACCUUUGCUGUUCUCCAUCUGCUUUCAGUUCUCCUUGCAGGGUCCAUUGUUCCCUUCCUUCCAAACUCCACCUGUUGUAGACACAUUGUCACAGGUGUGUGAAAGGAAGCUCUACUUGAGUCUCUGCUUCCCCUGUGCAUCCUGGGAACACAUGUUCUAACCCCUCCUUCCUACCAGCCCCACAGAUUUUUGACUGAUGGGGCUCUCCUUGUCCCACAUCCUGUCUUUUCCUAUUCCCUUCCCCGGUAUGGAAAUAAUGAUGGGAAUGUGUUCUGGGAAAGGGGCAAUCCAUUGAAACUGUCAUUGUGCCAACCUGGUAGAAUGAACUCACCCAGCUCUAAGAACUAGCAGGGCAGGAGGUGAAACCAUCUCAUAUAAGCACUAUGUCUCUGUGGUCCAUCACUGGCCAAAAUAUAAUAUGUAGCACGUGAAUGUCUAUUGCUUCUGUUGUACAGCCAGCCCUCUAUGCAUCUAUGGAAUUGUUUCCUCCACCUGAAGAGAAACUCUACCCCAUGAAACCAUGGAUGCCCAGUCUCUUCUCACAGCCUCUGGGAAGCAGUGUUCUCCCAUUGUCCCUAUGAAUGGACAGCGCUGGGAUCCUUGUAUGCCUAGCAGUCCUGUGGACUCAGACCACGUGUGUCUUUGGUGUCUGCCUUCUUCCUCUUAGCACAAUGUCCUCAGGGUCCCUUGAGAGUGCAGGAUGUCAGAGUGCCGUCCUUUCUGAGGAAGGUAUAACUGUCUACUGUGUAGAUAGAUGACAGAUAUUGUCAUAGCCAUUUAUUCAUAAUGGGACAUUCGGGUGAAUUCCACACUGGGAUUCUAAAUUUUGCUUUAAUCCAUUUCUGGUAUCUGUUGAUGUUAAGGCUGUCUGUUCUUUAGGCUCUGUGUGAAGGUUACUUGGUACUUUCAUCCCUGGACAUGUCUUCCAGCAACCCGCACAAGGCAUAGACUUCAUCAUGCAGAAUUCUGCCUUCAGGGAUCUUUGGCCUCUCUUCCCAGGGCCCUAGGACUUUCCUCAAACAAGUUAAAAGAGGCCUAGUGUCCUGGCCCAUGAUGUAAUAGUAGCACUCAAGAAGCUGAGGCAGGAGGAUGGCUGAGAGUUUGAGGCCACAAUCACUAUGUAUCUCAGGCUGUCCUCAAACUUCUCACAUCUGUCCAUCCUCACCCUCCUGAGGGAUGAUAUUACAUAGAUGUGCCAUUCACCCCAGCUAGGAAUCGGAGAACUUAGAUGAUAUACCAAAAGCCCACAUGAUACAGGAGUUUCUCUGUGGCAUAGCCAUAGUAUGUAGUGGUGGAUCCUGUGGGAGGUGGGACCUACCAGGAGGGAAUGAGGUCAUUGGGGCUGUGCCCUUCAAGGCUCAGCAGGACCUUUUCCCUGGCCUCUUCCUCUCACUGGCUUCCUGGCAGCCAGGAGUUGAGAAGAUUUGCUCUUUAACCUGUUCCCAUCAUGCCCUGUUGCCUUGGCACAGAACCAGAAGCAAAGCAGCAAAAGUUCCUCUUUUUAAGUGUCUGUUUCCAGUAAGAGAAAGCUAAUGUAUGCACUAACUUGGUAACUUAAAUUCUUUUUUCA
ensembl:lncRNA